ensembl:lncRNA
AAACAGUUUCUGAGGGUGUUUUUAGAGUUCCAGGAAAACACUUUUUUAAAAAGCCUCCUAGGAGAAUGAGCUUGAAGUAAAUGUCAUUGAGGCUUCUGGCUGGUUCCUGUGCGGCCCUUUGAAACUAAGAACAGCUCAACACCAGAGCCAUGAUCAUUUCUCUUGGCUUCCUUUUUCGAUUUUAUUACACAAAGUUUCAAACAUGCACAAAGGUAUGGGAGAAAGAGCGAUGAUGCCACAUGUACCCAUCACCUAGCUCCAACAUUCAACCGUUAGCAACUCAUUUUGGCCACUAUGUUCAGUGAGUGACAGAGGAAGGGGGAGAGGGAAGGAGGGAAAGGAAAGAAAAUUAAAACGCACCGCACAAGAUUUGGAGCAUGUUGCCACUCGCUCCAUAUUUUUUUUUACUCCUGAAUCCACUCUGAAAUAGUUCUAGUAGAAAGGACCCACAGCUGGUUUGGCAAAACUCCUUGGAGACUGCGAAUUUCAAUUCAGAUUUCAGAGAACUCAUUAGGAACUGCCCCACAAAGGACCGUAUCUCCUUGUAUCUCACCAUUUCCAAUGUGAUUCUGAAAGAAACUGAUGACUUGUGCCAGGCUCACAUUUUACUUGUCAGGGAUUUUAACCACACAGAGAAAAUUCCAGUAAGAGGCUUAAAAGUUUCCCAGCUAAAGAAAUGCCGAUGGUGAUGGAGCGGCAGAGAGUAGAGCCAGGGCUGGUGCGAACGAACCGGAUGUCUGAGGACUCCAGCCCGGUCGUGAGCUCUGCGCUUCAGAUGGUUUGCAGGGGGGCCCCGUGGGAGGUCACGAGGGUCCCACGGAGUCCAGGCCACCACCCUCCGUCUUCGGUGGGGAGGAGACACUGGCCUACCUGCUGUGGCCUUCUCCUCACACAGCCUGUGAGACUUCCAACCUCGCCUCUUUCUCUCUUUCCAAGCAUGGUCUGAUUGAGAUAAAGGGAAUUUAUGUCACUAAUAUUAAUGCUUCCUUCUCAAACUUUGUUUUCUGUCAGCAAGUAAAGGUGAAAAGGACAACGAUGGGCCAUAGAUGCUAAUUUUAGCUCAAGAUCUAACCGUGUCAUUUGUCAGCAGAGUCACUUGCAGCCUCCCGCUGUGGGAUCUGGCGAGCUCAGGGCACCUCCCCAAGCUCACGUCCACAGAAGAGCACACAUAGGUUUGGCAAGACGUUGGUCGGGGCUGAAAUCUUGGCCGGGAGCAUGUCCACUUCCACGCAGACUCCUCCCUAGAGCAAAGGCUUAGGGCAGAUGUGAAGGCAGGUCCACCGAAGGGCGGGGCGCAUAGCUGGAGCACACACUCACCCCACACACCAAGGACGUGAAGGAGGGAGGGAGCACGAAUGCCCAGACGGGCUCUCAGUGACAGCUGCCUGGUCCCCUCCCCUCUCAGCAAGCCAGGCAGCCAGGGUGAAGAGUCUCCUCCAGGACCCCACAGAUGGUCUGCACUGCCUGGGACAAAUUUCUAUUUCUUGACCAUCUGCCAAGGUGCCAGGGAAAAGACGCCACUCAGGAGAGUUAGUAAUUUGGGUGCUGUCUGUGAGCUCUGACAAAAGGAGAAGCAGCAGAUGAUUUCUGACGGUCGAAAGUGAACUCAACAUGUCAGGAGCUGCUAGCACACAGGAGGGCUCUGCAUCUGCCCUUGUGGAUUAAAGCCCAAGCUCUGUGACCAUGGGAUGCCACCUGGCUUCUUUAACUGGAGAGAGGAACACCUGUGCCACAGGGAUCGAAAUCCUUUUUUUUUCCCCAAAUAAACAUCCUCUAUUAAAGAAAAAAAGGACUGCUGUUAAGCACCAAAACUGUAUGUUAUUACACUGCAUGUACAAUAAGAGAAAGGUGAUUGCAAUACUUGGUGUACAAGUACUUAACUCUCAAGCCAUGAGUGUAAAAACCAUGAAAUACACAGUAAUACAGUAAUUACAACGCAGAAAACUUGUCUAAAUGAGGAAAAGGCAACAGUCCAAACAAUUGUUGUAGAUGUCCUAGUACUGGUAUAAAUGCUUGCUUAGUGUUUACUUUGUACUUCUACUACUUUAGAAUGUUAAUUGAGCAUAUUUCUUGUAAAUCUGCAGAAGAUGCAUUUACAAUCCACUAUGCAUACUGUCCAAUUAAUGUCAUGGUGAGAAAGCCAUCGGUAAAGCCAAGCACAACAUGCUAGUGUUUCUGCUUCUACCUUCAUAAUAUUGCACAAAGCUAGUAAAUGGUGAAUCAGUUUGCCAGCAUAAUUUUCGUGUACCCAGAAUGGCUAGAAACAUGUCAGUUUUGUUAGCCCUAAGGGACUUUAUUCAUGCAAAAUGACCUGCGGCCUUUGACUUUUCUUGAACUACAUCUGGCUUCAUGCUUGGCAAGACACACAGCACAGUGAGAAAUCCCAUGAGCCAGUGGGGUUUGGACAAAGCCACAGUACUGAGAGAUCACUGGGUUGCACAAUCUACCCAUCUUGAAAAUGCCACCUUAUGAUUAGGGAGACUUCUUAAAAAUAAUGAGUGCUGGGGAAAGCUGGAAUAAUUAGUUACAUUCUUUGAUAGUUAACCACAGAACGUGCAAAUUUAAAAAAAAAAUACCCCCAUUAAAACUGAACUCUGUAACCCAAUGCCAUAUGUUUUUACAUCUAAACAUUGCUUUCCGAGUGGGAGGACGAGGAGGAGGAGGCCUUGCCCUGCACGGACUGGGAGAACUGACAAGUGACUUGAGAGAAGAAAAUUAUCUACAGAUGAAGAUUGGUUCUGAUUCUUUUGGAUAACAGUAGUUUAAGCAAUUUGUCCCACGGUUGGAUUCUACUAGAUUCCAAGCUUGUUGGCUCAAGUGGUGUGAAAACCAAAACGAAGCACGGCUGGCAGUUCCUUUUCAGUCAUUCCAAGGGAGAGUGUCUGGCAUGAGUCUCGGAUGUGCAGCAUUCCCGACGGUGGGGGAGAACAGGACUUCUCUCCCCACCCACCCACUAGACCCUUGUGGCGGCCGUUUAAGCUGGGGUCACGAAGAACCAGAAGAGCAUUGAAACCCUUAAACACACAUAAAGCUUCUGACUUAAGGAGUACGUCGAGGUAUUCUCCUUCCGAAAAUGCUAUGAUUUCCAACACCAAGGAAUCUGGGAGGUCUGCCUUUUUGGAAAACAACUAGGCAAUUUAGUCCAGAAUAUUUCUCACCAUAACUUCUUGCUCACUGGAGCAGGAGAAGUAUAAAAUUUGGGUCAGUACCACCAGAAAAUUCUCAUGAGAUACAAGUAUUGCAUAGUUUACAUCUUACAUGAGAAUUUUAAAGACUUUUUCCCCCAUAGUUGCUCCCAGUCAUUUGGAAAUCAAAGAAAUGGCAUCAGUUAAACCAAGCUGGGAAAGUGAAAUCUUUGCAAAGUUUAUGUUGCUAAUUAAAUUAAAGUUUCUAGCAGAUCAAGGACAAAUAGCUGAGUUCAACCAAAUAUUUCCUUUGAUCUCUGGGUUCUUUACUUCAAAGACGAGCCAGCAGGAUUGCGCGGGGGGCUGCUGGGGUCCCCGUUUCCUUACCGUGCGGGGAUCCCGGUGCCAGGGUCCCCGGGAGCCUGCUCCAGAGAAGUGCAGAGCCUGCGCUGUUUGUUUUUGCCCGGGCCAGGCUGGCGCGAAGUGUGUGGCGAGAAUGAGUGAGUCAGCAGACGCGGGUUUGCAGCCUGGUCCGCCAGGGCCCGGUUCCACGAGAAAGCACUGCACGUCACGCUCUCCCACCAGGGCCUGUGCAUCUCAGCUCCGAUCUGAAGGUAGUGCUGGGCCUCUGGAUAACCAAAUCCUGAAAUGAGAUUAAGACCUACAACUCGAGAAGAAGCCUCAAGAAGUUUACUUUUUCUUCCAGGAAGAAGCUUCUGCCACGACGCUUCCAGUGCUUCCUGCGCAGUAGGCGCUUAGUAAUUCUUUGCUGAAUGAGUGAAGGGAAAAUGAAGACUGCGGUGAGGAGCGGGCCCGGGACUGUCUGCCACUUAGACGUGUUCUUCUUCCUCUCAGGUCACCCCAUUCACUGCGGCUGCGCAGCCCCGACGGCACUUGGGCCUAGGAUGGAGGAACAAGGACAUAGUAGGGCCAGGGAGGGAAAAAGGGACUGGGGAAGGGAAGGAUAAAGAAAGGGUGGCCCUGCCUGCCAAGGGGAAGGAAGGACAGCUCUGAGGGUGGGAGGGGUUUCCCACAACUGUCUUCAGCUGGGAGAGCGUCCUGUGCCCGGCGCAGUGGUGCACCAGUGGUGGCAGCACCAUCCACACGAACCCAGUCUGCUUCCCACCAAAUGGAUUGAACUUUUGCCUCUCUCUGAAUUUUC